rnacentral:lncRNA from 1 species
AUGCAUGAGAGAAUGAACUGAAGAAUUCUAGAAUUCUCUUCAAGUCCUUUACUUCCAGGAAAUAGAAAAAUCUGUUUGCUGUUUGUUUGAGCAGCUCUACCACCUGCCCAGCACAAUGAUGGGCCCUCCAGAGGAAGAGAAAAAAAGGAUAUGCCUCUGCACUCAGUGAGCUUACCAUGCACGUAGAGAAGCAGUUUCUAUGGCCUCUCAGUACACAAUUGCGAAGGAGCUUCCCAGGCGUGAUCAUAGGUGCAGCCGCCUCAGGGCAAUAAAUUCCCAGAAGUGCCACCCCACCUUUUCUUCUUGGCAAGCUCUUACUCACCUUCUGACACCCACGGCCCAGAGAGCCAGACAUGAGAAGAGGCAUGUCAGGGGAGCUACAAGAAGUCUGCUGCCUGCUCUAUCCAGCUGGGAACAUCUUGAGGGUAUGGAUCCCUCCAUAUUCGCCUCUCCAUUCCCAUGAAUAAGUAAGUGAAUGAACAGAUGGUGUUCUAGCUUAGGUACCUUAAGAAACUCAGGCAGACAAUGCCUGGCAGAAGAGCGUCCUCUUUCCCGAGGUGCCAAUUGCUGCUUACUGCUGUGAACUCUACGUUAGUAUACAAUCUAAACAUUGAUAACCAAACAGUGAAGGGAUCCAGAGCACACAGCCAGUCCCAGUGACCCACGCUUCUAGAUACAAUUCAUUCCUCAAUCUCAUGCCUUAAAGCAGAUUGUCUUAAGAAAAAAUCUUGAAUAUGUAUGCAUAAACUGCACUUUGACUGUCCUUAUAUUGUUUCUUUUCGUCCUUCUGGGACAUUAAUGGAAGUCAUCAAACGAGCAAUAAGGGAAAACACACUUAGUACAACUCCAUAGUUGUCUCAGUGUAUGGAAAGGUCAAGUACAAGUAAACACAAGUGUGGACCAGUCUGUAUGCUGAUAAUAACCAAGAAGCAUCGAAUAUUCACUAUGUGUCAAUCACUGUUCUAUGUUUUCAAAUGUAUUCUCUCAUUUGAUCCUCUCUAAAAACAAACAACAACUGUACAGUUGUUACUAUUAUUAUUCCUAGUUUAUGUUUGGCAACUGAGGCAAAGAGAGGUUAAGAAUCUUGUCCAAGGGCACACAGCUAGCAAUUAGUGGAACUGGAAUUUGAAGUGAAGCAAUCCAACUGGAAAGUCCAUGUCCAUCAUUCUUUCAUUUCAAUACUGUUCCUUCUCAUGUGUGUGUGUGUGUGUGUGUACUUUCCAUGAUACAUUAGCUAUGAAUUGGUUCAUCUCUUAGUUUCAGAAAACCCAAAAUAACUGUGGUUUGUCACAAAUGCAAGUUUAUCUCUCUCACACACAAAUAAAGAAUAUAGGUAAGCAGGCCA